AAAAAAAAAAAGAAAUAUGAAUAUAAAAAUAAAUUUUUUGCAUAGUUGAUUUUGGGAAUCUUCAUAUGCUUAGAAAAUUAAGCUUUUUCUAUUAGGUUGGUGCAAAAGUAAUUGUGGUUUUUUUGCCAUUAAAAGUAAUGGUAUAAACCAUUACUUCUAUUAAUACAACCAUCAAUUUUCAUUUUCAUAGCCUUUCAGAGUGGGAGUAAGCUUUGCAAUCAACCUGCUGCUUUCUCUUAGCUGUACGCUUGAUAAAUCUGAGUCAGUGGUUGGAAUGGAAUCUGCUUUUCCUGUGUUGGUUACAAGCAAGCACUUUCCCUGGCCACAAAACCCAGCCCAUGACAUUUUGUUUGGCAUCCCGAGCUGACUAACAACCUGCCUAAGAUGACACUGGCGGAAGGAAAAUGGUCCGAAUGCAGGCAGUCUGGCUCUGGAAUCAACAUUCUUCACCACUUGCUUAACCCUGUCUCAGUAGAAUACCUUCUCUGAAUGUAUUUUCCUCCAAAAUUGCUUUUUUAAAGUUUGUUCACAUAUUUCAGUUUUUAGUUCUGUAGAGCUACAAACAAACUUCAUUUAUAGAGAGAUUUUAGAGCCGUAUAUUCUGUUUUCAACUAUUGGCCCAACCAUUUCGUGGCGUUGUAUACAAUUUUAUUGUUUUAGUACAGUGGUUCCCCAACUUUUUUGGCACCAGGGACAGAUUUCAUGGAAGACAAUUUUUCCAUGGUGGGAUGGAAGAUGGUUUUGGGAUGAAACUGUUCCACCUCAGAUCCUCAGGCAUUAGUUAGAUUCUCAUAAAGAGCACCCAACCUAGAUCCCUCACAUGCACAGUUCACAAUAGGGUUGGUGCUCCUAUGAUAAUCUAAUGCUGCCGCUGACCCGACAGGAGGCGGAACUCAGGCAGUACUGCUCGCUGGCUGCUCCCCACCUGCUGUGCAGCCUAGUUCCUAACAGGCCGGGGACUGGUACUGGUCCAUGGCCCAGGCAUUGGGGACCCCUGUUUUAUUAUACUGCUGUGAUUUCUGAUCUAAAUGCAAAUGUUCGUAUGCUAAAAAGGGAAUUUAUGUUUGUUUUAAAACACUAAGAGCGUAUGAAGAUAUCAUUGGUAAAAAAUAGCAUAUUAAAAUAAUUGGUACAGUUUUCAUAAAUGCUAAAACAAUAUUGGAGCAGGUUAUUACUAACAUUUAUUAAUAGUUUCAAAUUUGGUUCCAAGAGCAGAUAAUGGGGUGAAAGUGUUAAGCCCUUCUGCUCAUGCAGAAGUAUAAUGAGGUCUUAAUACUGGGGGUUCCUUGAAAAAUCAAUUAUGUCUUUGAUAAAAUCAGGUUUAAUAAAGAGAUAAUGGUGCAUAAUAUAAGCAGUUAA